AACGAACGCUGGCGGCGGGCCUCAUACAUGCAAGUCGAGCGCGAAAGUCCGCAAGGAUGAGUAAAGCGGCGCACGGGUGAGUAACACGUGGAUAAUCUACCCUUUGGAUUGGAAUAACCUGUCGAAAGACGGGCUAAUGCCGAGUAAGCUUACGAGUUCGUGAAGUUCUUGUAAGGAAAGAUGGCGCAAGCUAUCGCCGAUGGAUGAGUCUGCGUCCCAUUAGUUAGUUGGUGGGGUAAUGGCUUACCAAGACUAUGAUGGGUACCUGGUCUGAGAGGAUGACCAGGCACACUGGAACUGAAACACGGUCCAGACUCCUACGGGAGGCAGCAGUAGGGAAUAUUGCGCAAUGGACGAAAGUCUGACGCAACCACGCCGCGUGAGUGAGGAAGGCCUUCGGGUUGGUUAAAGGACUACUGUC
rnacentral:rRNA from 1 species